GGUUAAGUCGUAACAAGGUAUCCCUACGAGAACGUGGGGAUGGAUCACCUCCUUUCUACGGAGUACAAAAUACUUUAUUACUUAAUUUACUAUUGGAGUAAAUUAAAUUCUUAACUUUAUUAAUCAGACCUAUUAACCAAUUUGUCAUGGCUUUCAGGUCAAAAGCUUUAUAUCUAGUUUUGAGAGAACAUUCUCUCAAUUGUUCUUUGAAAACUGAAUAGUAAGAUAUUUUAAAAAUAUUUACAACGACAUCUUAACAAAUAUAAAUGUCAAUUUGUUUUGAUCAUCGAGUAAUCAUAUAACUUAUGAUUUAUUGAAAUGUCUUAAAAUACACAUCAUUAACCAAACAAUAGGAAAAUACUUUAAAUAAGGAAGAGUUUGUGGUGGAUGCCUUGGGUCUGAAAGUCGAUGAAG
rnacentral:misc_RNA from 1 species